rnacentral:snRNA from 1 species
GUCUCUGGUGUGGCUCUAAAAAAGACAAAAAAAAAAAAAAAAAAAGCAGAGAUUAGCAUGGUUCAUGGGCAAGGAUGACAGGCAAAUUCAUGAAGUUUUUCAUAUUUUU